UGGGGAAUAUUGCACAAUGGGCGAAAGCCUGAUGCAGCGACGCCGCGUGCGGGAUGAAGGCCUUCGGGUUGUAAACCGCUUUUAAUUGGGAGCAAGCGAGAGUGAGUGUACCUUUUGAAUAAGCACCGGCUAACUACGUGCCAGCAGCCGCGGUAAUACGUAGGGUGCAAGCGUUAUUCGGAAUUAUUGGGCGUAAAGAGCUCGUAGGCGGUUUGUCACGCCUGGUGUGAAAGUCCAUCGCUUAACGGUGGAUCUGCGCCGGGUACGGGCAGGCUAGAGUGCAGUAGGGGAGAUUGGAAUUCCCGGUGUAACGGUGGAAUGUGUAGAUAUCGGGAAGAACACCAAUGGCGAAGGCAGAUCUCUGGGCUGUUACUGACGCUGAGGAGCGAAAGCAUGGGGAGCGAACAGGAUUAGAUACCCUGGUAGUCCAUGCCGUAAAACGGUGGAUGCUGGAUGUGGGACCCUUCCACGGGUUCCGUGUCGGAGCUAACGCGUUAAGCAUCCCGCCUGGGGAGUACGGCCGCAAGGCUAAAA
rnacentral:rRNA from 1 species